GAAGAAAAAAGCCAUGGUCUAUUGUAGUUAAAUCAAUGGCAAUUAUGUAUCCUAAAAUAGCUUGACUUCAUUGAGUAAUAUUGUCAAAGAUCGUGUAACCCUACCUAUUACUAUCGCUAGAUCUAUUUUGAACAAGGGAAGAGUAGCAGAAAAAGGAGGACCACAUUGUUGCCAUUGGGACAGUGGGAAUAUGAUGACAUCGGCGCGAGCAUUUCCAUGAGUAUUGAGAUCAGAUGAUAACUUUUGUCAAUAGAAGGUUCAACAAAGAGAAACACAAGCAAUAACACUAGAAGAAAUUAGCAGAAAUUCAUACAGAUCGGAUGAUAACUUUUGUUGUUAGAGCGGACAGAAGGUUCUACAAAGUGAAACAAGGGACAUAACUCUAGACGAAAUUAACACAAAAUCUGGAAAUUAAAUAGACUUCUUCAUCAGACUAGAUAAAACAGCAUAGAUCAAUUUCAAAACUAUCGGAUGACAAGGUGGGCACAACUCAGAACACUUAAAAUUCCAGUUUUCCAGGAGUUAUUUACCAGAUUCUAGUAUUUCUUUUAAGCUUGAAGAACAUUUACCGCCACGAACUUGUGAACUUUUGAAGAAACAUUUAAUGACUACAUUCAGUUUUAUAUCUUAAUAUAUAGCGAAACUACAAAUGUUAAUUUUCCAGGAGUUUCAAGGAGCACUUUUGUUUUCCAGGAUUUUCCAGUACAGGAAAUCACAUUUUCAUUUUUCCAGGAUUUUCAAGAAGUGUGCGAACCUGGGAUGAUAAAGGAAAUGAAAUGGGGUUUUGUCAAUAGAAGGUUCAACUUUUCUCCACCCACUGGGCUAAUGAAGACGGGGUUCUUUUAUGUGCAUGCCAAUGUGUAAAUGGGGCCUUGGUUUUUCGGAUGGUAAAUGUAGUCUGUAGAUUAUUCAUAAGAGAGAGAGAAAUGGGGUUUAAUGUCCACUCGACACAAUGUAAGUCAUUUCGGGACUAGCAUAGGUUCAAUUUUAUUUCAAUAAUUCACUUGUGCGUAGCGGUCUUUAGCAGUGGGGGUAACCAGAGGACCUAGAGAAAACCCAUGAGGUUGGACAGGCGACCCUACUCCUUGUCACAUGCAACCGGGAAAUCGAAACCCCACCAGUUGACUCAAUGACAAACCUUACAAUACAGCGCGGACGCGCUAACCAUUCGACCAUCCAACCCCCUGUAUUCACAAGAAAUUGUGGACGACGGACAGAUGACAAUAAUACGACCACAUUUCCAUGUGGGCGAAUAAAAACUUCAUUAAUAAUACAUUUAUAAAAUA